rnacentral:tRNA from 1 species
GGGCCAUUAGCUCAAUGGUAGAGCAGGCGCCUCUUAAGCGCAAGGUUGCAGGUUCGAGUCCUGCAUGGCCCA